rnacentral:SRP_RNA from 1 species
CCCGUCAGGUCCGGAAGGAAGCAGCGGUAAGCGGAUAGUUUCGGGUGCCGCAGGGGUGCCUGGCUUGAGCUAACUGCUAGGGUUACGUCUGGAAGAUUUCUGUCGACGAAGGGUGCACGG